UGGCAAAAUGGGUACAGGGGGANUCAGGC
rnacentral:piRNA from 1 species